rnacentral:rRNA from 1 species
CGCGUAGGUGGUUUGUUAAGCGAGAUGUGAAAGCCCCGGGCUUAACCUGGGAACGGCAUUUCGAACUGGCAGGCUAGAGUGUGGUAGAGGGUAGUGGAAUUCCAGGUGUAGCGGUGAAAUGCGUAGAUAUCUGGAGGAACAUCAGUGGCGAAGGCGACUUCCUGGACCAAUACUGACGCUGAGGUGCGAAAGCGUGGGGAGCGAACA